rnacentral:rRNA from 1 species
GAUGAACGCUGGCGGCGUGCCUAAUACAUGCAAGUCGAGCGAAUGGAUUAAGAGCUUGCUCUUAUGAAGUUAGCGGCGGACGGGUGAGUAACACGUGGGUAACCUGCCCAUAAGACUGGGAUAACUCCGGGAAACCGGGGCUAAUACCGGAUAACAUUUUGAACCGCAUGGUUCGAAAUUGAAAGGCGGCUUCGGCUGUCACUUAUGGAUGGACCCGCGUCGCAUUAGCUAGUUGGCGAGGUAACGGCUCACCACGGCAACGAUGCGUAGCCGCCGUGGGAGGGUGAUCGACCGCGCUGGGACUGAGACACGGCCCAGACUCCGACGGAAGGCAGGAGUAGGGAAGCUUCCGCAAUGGACGAAAGUCCGACGGAGCAACGCCGCGUAAGUGAUGAAAGCUUUCGGGUGGUAAAACUCUGUUGUUAGGGAAGAACAAGUGCUAGUUGAAUAAGCUGGCACCUUGACGGUACCUAACCAGAAAGCCACGGCUAACUACGUGCCAGCCGCCGCGGUAA